rnacentral:pre_miRNA from 1 species
AAAGUACCCCCUCCGUCCCAAAAUUCUUGUCUUAGAUUUGUCUAGAUACGGAUGUAUCAAGUCACAUUUUAGUAUUAGAUACAUCAGUAUCUAGACAAAUCUAAGACAAGAAAUUUGGGACAGAGGGAGUAGUUG